rnacentral:rRNA from 1 species
GAUGAACGCUGGCGGCGUGCCUAAUACAUGCAAGUCGAGCGAACGGACGAGAAGCUUGCUUCUCUGAUGUUAGCGGCGGACGGGUGAGUAACACGUGGAUAACCUACCUAUAAGACUGGGAUAACUUCGGGAAACCGGAGCUAAUACCGGAUAAUAUUUUGAACCGCAUGGUUCAAAAGUGAAAGACGGUCUUGCUGUCACUUAUAGAUGGAUCCGCGCUGCAUUAGCUAGUUGGUAAGGUAACGGCUUACCAAGGCAACGAUGCAUAGCCGACCUGAGAGGGUGAUCGGCCACACUGGAACUGAGACACGGUCCAGACUCCUACGGGAGGCAGCAGUAGGGAAUCUUCCGCAAUGGGCGAAAGCCUGACGGAGCAACGCCGCGUGAGUGAUGAAGGUCUUCGGAUUGUAAAACUCUGUUAUUAGGGAAGAACAUAUGUGUAAGUAACUGUGCACAUCUUGACGGUACCUAAUCAGAAAGCCACGGCUAACUACGUGCCAGCAGCCGCGGUAAUACGUAGGUGGCAAGCGUUAUCCGGAAUUAUUGGGCGUAAAGCGCGCGUAGGCGGUUUUUUAAGUCUGAUGUGAAAGCCCACGGCUCAACCGUGGAGGGUCAUUGGAAACUGGAAAACUUGAGUGCAGAAGAGGAAAGUGGAAUUCCAUGUGUAGCGGUGAAAUGCGCAGAGAUAUGGAGGAACACCAGUGGCGAAGGCGACUUUCUGGUCUGUAACUGACGCUGAUGUGCGAAAGCGUGGGGAUCAAACAGGAUUAGAUACCCUGGUAGUCCACGCCGUAAACGAUGAGUGCUAAGUGUUAGGGGGUUUCCGCCCCUUAGUGCUGCAGCUAACGCAUUAAGCACUCCGCCUGGGGAGUACGACCGCAAGGUUGAAACUCAAAGGAAUUGACGGGGACCCGCACAAGCGGUGGAGCAUGUGGUUUAAUUCGAAGCAACGCGAAGAACCUUACCAAAUCUUGACAUCCUUUGACAACUCUAGAGAUAGAGCUUUCCCCUUCGGGGGACAAAGUGACAGGUGGUGCAUGGUUGUCGUCAGCUCGUGUCGUGAGAUGUUGGGUUAAGUCCCGCAACGAGCGCAACCCUUAAGCUUAGUUGCCAUCAUUAAGUUGGGCACUCUAAGUUGACUGCCGGUGACAAACCGGAGGAAGGUGGGGAUGACGUCAAAUCAUCAUGCCCCUUAUGAUUUGGGCUACACACGUGCUACAAUGGACAAUACAAAGGGCAGCGAAACCGUGAGGUCAAGCAAAUCCCAUAAAGUUGUUCUCAGCUCGGAUUGUAGUCUGCAACUCGACUACAUGAAGCUGGAAUCGCUAGUAAUCGUAGAUCAGCAUGCUACGGUGAAUACGUUCCCGGGUCU